AACGGAUUUGGCGGCAAAAUGACCAUUUAGAGGAACCUGCCCUUAAAACGAUACUCCACGAAUAUCUUACUUUUAUUAGUAAUCAGUUUGUAUACCGCUGUUGAUAGUUAGUUUUUUUAAAAAUCUUUCUUAAAUGAUUUAUUCAUUGACUUCAAGUAAAGGUGCAGUUUAUAUAAAAGGCAGAGGUGGGUUACAAUUAAUAGAUUAAAUGAUGGAUUAAAGAAUGAAAUUUUUUUAGGAAAUUGGAUUUAGAUGUAAAUUUUUAAGAGUUUGAUAAGAGUACUAUUUUGUGUACACACCGCCCGUC
rnacentral:rRNA from 1 species